rnacentral:rRNA from 1 species
UCAGGACGAACGCUGGCGGCGUGCUUAACACAUGCAAGUCGAACGGGGGUUACAGGAGAGCUUGCUUGAAUGUAACCGAGUGGCGGACGGGUGAGUAACGCGUGAGCAACCUGUCUCAUACAGGGGGAUAACGCACCGAAAGGUGUGCUAAUACCGCAUAAGACCACAGGGUCGCAUGACUCAGAGGUCAAAGGAGCGAUCCGGUAUGAGGUGGGCUCGCGUCUGAUUAGAUAGUUGGUGAGGUAACGGCUCACCAAGUCGACGAUCAGUAGCCGACCUGAGAGGGUGAUCGGCCACAUUGGAACUGAGAUACGGCCCAGACUCCUACGGGAGGCAGCAGUCGGGAAUAUUGCGCAAUGGAGGAAACUCUGACGCAGUGACGCCGCGUAUAGGAAGAAGGUUUUAGGAUUGUAAACUAUUUUAGUCAGGGAAGAAAAAGACGGUACCUGAAGAAUAAGCUCCGGCUAACUACGUG